rnacentral:lncRNA from 1 species
CUGCUAAUGGUUCUGCCAGGGCUUCUUCAUCUCUCGCUGUCUCAACUCCAGCAGACGGAGCUUCAGUCGGAAGAAGCAUUGUCAGGGCCGACAACACUAGGACCGACUCGAGGGCUGCCUCUAACGAAAUGUCAAAUUUUCUUGUCGGUACUGAUGGAGAAUCAACCUGACUCUUUCUCGACGGUCGGGAAGGUCCAGCAUCAGUCACUGCC